GAAAUGCGAUAAGUAAUGUGAAUUGCAGAAUUCAGUGAUUCAUCGAAUCUUUGAACGCACAUUGCGCCCGCCAGUAUUCUGGCGGGCAUGCCUGUCCGAGCGUCAUUUCAACCAUCAAGCCCCCGGGCUUGUGUUGGGGACCUGCGGCUGCCCGCAGGCCCUGAAAACCAGUGGCGGGCUCGCUGUCACACCGAGCGUAGUAGCAAUCACCUCGCUCAGGGCGUGCUGCGGGUUCCGGCCGUUAAACAGCCUUACAAAACCCAAGGUUGACCUCGGAUCAGGUAGGAAGACCCGCUGAACUUAAGC
rnacentral:misc_RNA from 1 species